AGUAAAUAGAUACCCAGGUAGUCCACGCCGUAAACGAUGUCGACUUGGAGGUUGUGCCCUUGAGGCGUGGCUUCCGGAGCUAAACGCGUUUAGUCGACCGCCUGGGGAGUACGGCCGCAAGGUUAAAACUCAAAUGAAUUGACGGGGGCCCGCACAAGCAGUGGAGCAUGUGGUUUAAUUCGAUGCAACGCGAAGAACCUUACCUACUCUUGACAUCCAGAGAACUUAGCAGAGAUGCUUUGGUGCCUUCGGGAACUCUGAGACAGGUGCUGCAUGGCUGUCGUCAGCUCGUGUUGUGAAAUGUUGGGUUAAGUCCCGCAACGAGCGCAACCCUUAUCCUUUGUUGCCAGCGGUUAGGCCGGGAACUCAAAGGAGACUGCCAGUGAUAAACUGGAGGAAGGUGGGGAUGACGUCAGGUCAUCAUGGCCCUUACGAGUAGGGCUACACACGUGCUACAAUGGCGCAUACAAAGAGAAGCGACCUCGCGAGAGCAAGCGGACCUCAUAAAGUGCGUCGUAGUCCGGAUUGGA
rnacentral:rRNA from 1 species